rnacentral:piRNA from 1 species
UCUUUGGAGAGUAACUUACUCUUGGGAGAU